AAUAUUGCACAAUGGGGGAAACCCUGAUGCAGCGACGCCGCGUGAGUGAAGAAGUNUUNNGGUAUNUNAAGCUCUAUCAGCAGNNNNNAUAAUGACGGUCCCUGACUAAGAAGCCCCGGCUAACUACGUGCCAGCAGCCGCGGUAAUACGUAGGGGGCAAGCGUUAUCCGGAUUUACUGGGUGUAAAGGGAGCGUAGGUGGUAUGGUAAGUCAGAUGUGAAAGCCCAGGGCUCAACCCUGGGACUGCAUUUGAAACUAUCAAACUAGAGUGCAGGAGAGGUAAGUGGAAUUCCUAGUGUAGCGGUGAAAUGCGUAGAUAUUAGGAGGAACACCAGUGGCGAAGGCGGCUUACUGGACUGUAACUGACACUGAGGCUCGAAAGCGUGGGGAGCAAACAGG
rnacentral:rRNA from 1 species